rnacentral:rRNA from 1 species
CCUACGGGAGGCAGCAGUGAGGAAUAUUGGUCAAUGGACGAGAGUCUGAACCAGCCAAGUAGCGUGAAGGAUGACUGCCCUAUGGGUUGUAAACUUCUUUUAUCAAGGAAUAAAACGAGGCACGUGUGCCUUUUUGCAUGUACUUUAUGAAUAAGGAUCGGCUAACUCCGUGCCAGCAGCCGCGGUAAUACGGAGGAUCCGAGCGUUAUCCGGAUUUAUUGGGUUUAAAGGGAGCGUAGAUGGGUUGUUAAGUCAGUUGUGAAAGUUUGCGGCUCAACCGUAAAAUUGCAAUUGAUACUGGCAGUCGUGAGUACAGUUGAGGUAAGCGGAAUUCGUGGUGUAGCGGUGAAAUGCUUAGAUAUCACGAAGAACCCCGAUUGCGAAGGCAGCUUACUAAACUGUGACUGACAUUGAUGCUCGAAAGUGUGGGUAUCAAACAGGAUUAGAUACCCCAGUAGUC